rnacentral:tRNA from 1 species
AGCAGAGUAGCUCAACGGUAGAGCAGUGGUCUCAUAAUCCAAAGGUAAGAGUUCAAUUCUCUUCUCCGCUA